UGCAGGCUUGCUUCUAUGUGAAACUCCUUCGAAGAGUCGAGUUGUUUGGGAAUGCAGCUCAAAAUGGGUGGUAAAUUUCAUCUAAAGCUAAAUAUUGGCGGGAGACCGAUAGCGCACAAGUAGAGUGAUCGGAAGAUGAAAAGCACUUUGAAAAGAGAGUUAAACAGUACGUGAAAUUGUUGAAAGGGAAGCGCUUGCAAUCAGACUCGCCUUCAGUUGAUCAGCCUUCCUUCUGGUUGGUGCACUCUGCUGUUGGCGGGCCAGCAUCAGUUGGGGCGGCGGGACAAAGGCGGCAGGAAUGUGGCUCGUUCGCGAGUGUUAUAGCCUGCUGUGUCAUGCCGCCAGCCCCGACUGAGGUCCGCGGUUCGCCUAGGAUGCUGGCUUAAUGGUUGU
rnacentral:rRNA from 1 species